GGUGACGGCGGGGAACGGCCCGAUGGAGGCACGGAUGGCGCGGCCGCGCAGGCUUACUUGAGCAUGGCUUCUUCCUUCUCCUCCUCUUCUUUCUGCCGGUCCAUCACUGCCAUGAUGAUGUUCCUCUCCUCCUCGGUCAGGUGGCUCAGCUGGUGGUACAUUGUUACAGAAGCCCUAGAAAGCGGAUACAAUAUUUACGUGAGUUUGGAUCAAGUGCACCUUGCUGAGCCUUCUUUUGCUCAUCUAUAAAAUGGAAAUAACACUGUCUGCCCUCCACGGCUUUGGUAAGGUUGAAAGCUGGGCGCUGAGGCUAUGGGAGCGAAUGUCGAAUUUAAGGUAAUCGUCCUAUAGGGACUGGCCAAGUAUGGCGCAUGGGUCAAAUGCAGACCAAAGCCUGUUUUUGUGAAUAAAGUUUUAUUGGAGCACAGCCACAUCCAUUGAGCCAUGUAUUAUCUCUAGCUGCCUUCAUGCUACCAUGGUAGAGUGGAAGCCACAGAGACCAUAUGUCCAGUGAAGCCUAAAAUAUUUACUAUCUGCCUUGCUGCAGAAAAGGAUUUGUCCACCUCUGCCCCAGCUGCUAACAAUGCGGUUGGAAGAGAGAGGCAUAAGUAAACACACAAGAACAGCUGGACUUCGGUAAUUGUUCUAGAAAAUACCUUGCUGGAUAGAGUAGAGAGUAAACUGCUGGAAGUGGGCAGUCAUGGCGUCCUAAGCAGGGGUCCUGUGAGCAGAGAUAUGAAGAAGAAGAAGGAAUUCCUUAAGAAGGGCUGGGCACAGAGUGUUCCAAGGUGAGGAAGGGCAGUCGACACACGGCCCCAAGUCAGGAAGGGGCAGAGCCCUGGAGGAACAAGAGGUGGGCCAGGGAGGCGGGAUCCCUGGGAAGAGAGGAGAAAACGCGGGAGAUGAGCUCCUACAGGGAAUUUCUACUCCACGGAAUUAGCAAGUGACUCUGCUGUGAUGUCAGAAUUCUGUAUAACUCCAGUUAUAAUUAUUGAAGGGUUUUUAAUUUCUGGAAAAUAAAUGAAUUAGGAAUAUCUUCAACAUCAAUUGAGAAGCAGUCUUGCCUACCCACUGAACUGCAACAUUGAGUUUUGAUUUAAGUUAUCACCACCUCAUCCUAGAUAUUAUUCACAUCAUUGGCAUGGGCACCACCAUAAUCUGUUACACAAGAACAGUUUCUAUAUAAGGUGAUCAUGUGUCCCGGUUUAUCCAAGAUCAUCUGAGUCCAUGCUUCCUGUACUGGCAUUAUUAUCAACAGCAUCUUCUUUCACUUAAAAGUGUCCUAGUUUGUAUGACAAAUUAUAUGGUCACCCUAUUUACACAUAGUUAUAAUAAUUUGCAAAAAUGUCGUCUUUCUGGCUUCAAGGAACAUUGGGCUCUCAAAUGAUUUCACUCAAAGUAUUUGGCUGAAACUAGAUAUCAGAUUUUGGCUCAAAUUCAGCCAAAUACCUAUUUUAAUCUGAUUUUUGGUAACAUUCCACUGUUGUCAUUUAUUUUGUGAGGAACUGAGUGUCUGGGAAGGCCUUUGACCUUGGACUUAGAAGAAGGUACAUCAUUCUGUUCUCUCCAGAGGGGUUACAACAGCCUUGGACAUACUUCUUCCAAUGCUACAACAUAAGGAAAGACUAUAGUCUAAAGACAGUGAUCCUACUUCAAGGUCAAGGUCUGAUCUGGCCUCCUGUUGCCAAAUAUCCAAUCUUCCAGAAGCAGAGGCAAGUGUUGAGCCUCCAAAAUACCACCAUCUUUUGAGAAUAUCAACCAGCCACUUGGAUGAAAGUUGAUUGCGUUGAACUCUUUGCAUCCUGGAAUGGGCAGCUAUUCACCUGGAUGGAAUCAACACAUAUUCUGGUUAUGAGUUUGUCUUUCCUGCUCACCAAAGUCCAGCAAGUACACCAACAAAGAGCUUAUAGAGUUUCUGAACCACUGACACAGGAUCCCACAUACAUCCAAAUAGACUAAGAUAUCCACUUUAUAGCAAAGGGAAUGGGCACAUGGUCUUAGGAUCUACUGGUCCUAUUACAUACUGUACCACCCCUGAAUUACUGCCCUCAUAGAAUAGAAUAAAAGAAGAGUCAUUUGUAUGUGCUUCUAAGGCUCCAAUGUGGAAAUAAUUCUGUAGAGAAUAGAGUGCAAUAUUCCAAAGUGCAAUAUGCACCCUAAAAUCAAUGACCAUAAUAUCAUACAGUAUCUCUGGUAAUCAGAAUAAGUCUAGGCAUCAAGAGGUUGAAGUGACCCCCCUACACCAUCAUUUCUAGUGGCCCCUAUGGAGAAUUUGUGCCUCCUGUCCCCCCAUGUUUAGGCUCUGCAGGUCUAGAGGUUCACAGAGAAGGAAUAUUUCCUCUCAGGGACACAGAAAUAUUCCCAUUAAACUUUAAGCUAUGGGUACCUCUUGGUCACUUCCAACUCUUUGUGCCAAGAAACCAGCAAUAAAAGGAGUCUAUGCUGGGAGACAUCACUGGCUCUGGUCAUAAGCAGGAAGCUACACAAUGGGGGUCAGGGAACAUAGUGACAUUUUUGACACUAAAAUGAUGUGCUGGAAUGUCUCCUGGGACUCUCCUGUCCUUUUUAAUGGAAAAUUGAAAAGAUCUCUAGCUAAAGCCUGAGAAAAGUAUGGUGAUCAAGAGACCAGAACUUUUAGGGAUAAUGGUCUAAGUCAUCCUACCAGAUCAGCUACUAGACAAGUAAAGGUGCUCACCAAGGAUGCUGUGAACUGAGUGGUGGAAGAAGGAGGAGGUGAGUAUCAUUUAUAGCCUCUAGACCACUAACCUUACUCUUGUAACCUUAGUCUUGUAGACUAACCAGGAUGUUAGUUACCAAGUGGAAUAAACACACUAUCAAAGCAAGUGGAUUCAAGCAGAAAAAGACGUAGACUGGAGUGGAUUCCAGGGUGUCCUCCUAGGUCUCACAUUUGGACUGAGGCAUGCAUUUCCCAUCUGCUGGGAGUAUUGGCUGUUGAUGGCUCACAGAGUCAUCUCUCUCUUGGAAUUGCCACUGACCUAAGGAAUCUGCCUCACGCAAGUUCACACCAUCUCCUUGGGGGAGCUCACAUCCAAUAACUGUCCAAUGUAGGCAUUCAAGGGUCUGAUCCUCUUGCUUCCACUGGUGACAUUUCUGAAGGGACUUCUUAGUUUUGGAGUUCCUGGUGGACCUCGACUGAAAACUCUGUUCCAGCUCCCUCCCUUUGCAUGCUGUCCAGUCCUCCUUCCUAUGUUCUCUCCCAGUGUUGAUCCCAAGAACACUUCAUAACAAACUCUUUCUGCACAAAAAUAUCAGAUCCACAGUCUGCUUCCUGGGGUACCUGGUCUGGAACCCAUGUGCAUCACAAUCCCAAAGUCUCAUGCCCAUUCACUCCCAUCAGCCUCUCCAGUCUCUGGAUCCCCCCACCUCCCCAGGAGGCCCAUCUACUCCUCCUUUUGUGGAUGGAAUGACGGCCGACCAGCCUUGGCUCCAGGAUCUUUUGCUCGGAUGAAACCCUCACUUAUAGGCUACUUUGCCCCUUUUCCUCCUACAGUGUUGACUGUGUAUGUCCAACCCUGGUUAACUUUGACUUUCUUUAGCAGGAUAUUGAAUGAGGAACUUUUCUGGUUGGACGGGCCUAUCGCAUGACAUUGGUGGCUGCACCCUCCUUCCACAGCCCAUCUUCCUGGCCUUCCAUGACAUUAAACAGUUUUGGAGCUCUUUCA